UACGGAGGCUGCAAGCGUUAUCCGGAAUUAUUGGGCGUAAAGCGUCCGCAGGUGGCUGUGUAAGUCUGCUGUUAAAGAGUGAGGCUCAACCUCAUAAAGGCAGUGGAAACUACAUGGCUAGAGUGCGUUCGGGGCAGAGGGAAUUCCUGGUGUAGCGGUGAAAUGCGUAGAGAUCAGGAAGAACACCGGUGGCGAAAGCGCUCUGCUAGGCCGCAACUGACACUGAGGGACGAAAGCUAGGGGAGCGAAUGGG
rnacentral:rRNA from 1 species